UGUGGUAUGAUGAAAAGAAUCAUUCGGAUUCCCAAUGAUAGCAUAUAUAUGAUAUCUCAACCAGCUACUUCUGAUCACA